AGAGCGAACGCUGGCGGCAGGCUUAACACAUGCAAGUCGAGCGGGCGUAGCAAUACGUCAGCGGCAGACGGGUGAGUAACGCGUGGGAACAUACCUUUUGGUUCGGAACAACACAGGGAAACUUGUGCUAAUACCGGAUAAGCCCUUACGGGGAAAGAUUUAUCGCCGAAAGAUUGGCCCGCGUCUGAUUAGCUAGUUGGUGAGGUAACGGCCCACCAAGGCGACGACGGGUAGCC
rnacentral:rRNA from 1 species